AUUGAACGCUGGCGGCAUGCCUUACACAUGCAAGUCGAACGGUAACAGCACUUCGGUGGCUGACGAGUGGCGAACGGGUGAGUAAUACAUCGGAACGUGCCCGAGAGUGGGGGAUAACGCAGCGAAAGCUGUGCUAAUACCGCAUACGAUCUACGGAUGAAAGCAGGGGACCGCAAGGCCUUGCGCUCAUGGAGCGGCCGAUGGCAGAUUAGGUAGUUGGUGGGAUAAAAGCUUACCAAGCCGACGAUCUGUAGCUGGUCUGAGAGGACGACCAGCCACACUGGGACUGAGACACGGCCCAGACUCCUACGGGAGGCAGCAGUGGGGAAUUUUGGACAAUGGGCGAAAGCCUGAUCCAGCCAUGCCGCGUGCAGGAUGAAGGCCUUCGGUUGUAACGUAGCUUUGUUACGGUAACGAAAAGGUACGUUUUCUUAAUAAAGAAAGGACGUCAUGACGGUACCGGUAAGAAUAAGACACCGGCUAACUACGUAGCCAGCACG
rnacentral:rRNA from 1 species